GACAGAGGAUGCAAGCGUUAUCCGGAAUGAUUGGGCGUAAAGCGUCUGUAGGUGGCUUUUCAAGUCCGCCGUCAAAUCCCAGGGCUCAACCCUGGACAGGCGGUGGAAACUACCAAGCUGGAGUACGGUAGGGGCAGAGGGAAUUUCCGGUGGAGCGGUGAAAUGCAUUGAGAUCGGAAAGAACACCAACGGCGAAGGCAGCUCGCUGGGACGGUACUGACGCUGAGACGCGAAAGCGUGGGGAGCAAACAGG
rnacentral:rRNA from 1 species